rnacentral:rRNA from 1 species
UGAAUUGCAGAAUCCCGUGAACCAUCGAGUCUUUGAAUGCAAGUUGCGCCCGGAGCCUUCGGGCCGAGGGCACGCCUGCCUGGGCGUCACGC